AGCGAACGCUGGCGGCAGGCCUAACACAUGCAAGUCGAACGAACUCUUCGGAGUUAGUGGCGGACGGGUGAGUAACACGUGGGAACGUGCCUUUUGGUUCGGAAUAACUCAGGGAAACUUGUGCUAAUACCGAAUGUGCCCUUCGGGGGAAAGAUUUAUCGCCAUUAGAGCGGCCCGCGUCUGAUUAGCUAGUUGGUGAGGUAACGGCUCACCAAGGCGACGAUCAGUAGCUGGUCUGAGAGGAUGACCAGCCACACUGGGACUGACACACGGCCCAGACUCCUACGGGAGGCAGCAGUGGGGAAUCUUGCGCAAUGGGCGAAAGCCUGACGCAGCCAUGCCGCGUGAAUGAUGAAGGUCUUAGGAUUGUAAAAUUCUUUCACCGGGGACGAUAAUGACGGUACCCGGAGAAGAAGCCCCGGCUAACUUCGUG
rnacentral:rRNA from 1 species